rnacentral:rRNA from 1 species
UUGCGGCAUGGGAUGGGGUCGCGUCCUAUCAGCUUGUUGGCGGGGUGAUGGCCCACCAAGGCGUUGACGGGUAGCCGGCCUGAGAGGGUGACCGGCCACAUUGGGACUGAGAUACGGCCCAGGCUCCUACGGGAGGCAGCAGUGGGGAAUAUUGCACAAUGGGCGCAAGCCUGAUGCAGCGACGCCGCGUGCGGGAUGGAGGCCUUCGGGUUGUAAACCGCUUUUGUUCAAGGGCAAGGCACGGUUUCGGCCGUGUUGAGUGGAUUGUUCGAAUAAGCACCGGCUAACUACGUGCCAGCAGCCGCGGUAAUACGUAGGGUGCGAGCGUUAUCCGGAUUUAUUGGGCGUAAAGGGCUCGUAGGCGGUUCGUCGCGUCCGGUGUGAAAGUCCAUCGCCUAACGGUGGAUCUGCGCCGGGUACGGGCGGG